rnacentral:snRNA from 1 species
CAAAUUCAGGGGGAUGUAAAAACCUGUCACCAUAUCAAUUACUUGGAUUAAUUUGGAUGAUCUGGCUGGCUAGGUAGGUGCCACCUUACUCCCUCAACACUCCACGUAGGAUUCUUUCUUGAAGCUGUACAUUCAGUGGAAGAGAGAAACCUUCCAUAGUAGAGGAAGACUAUUCUUUGGUCAAGAGUACAUGAAUAGUUGAUUACCCCUGCUAGAACUUCCAAACAAGCUCACCAACACAGGAGCCUGUAGAGAGCAGCAUUGAACAUAAAUGUCAGUUU